rnacentral:rRNA from 1 species
UACGUAGGGGGCAAGCGUUGUCCGGAAUCAUUGGGCGUAAAGGGCGCGUAGGUGGUCUUGUGUGUCUACCGUGAAAGCACACGGCUUAACCGUGUAAAGUCGGUAGAAACUGCGAGACUUGAGGUUGGGAGGGGCUGGUGGAAUUCCCUGUGUAGCGGUGAAAUGCGUAGAGAUGGGGGAGAACACUUGUGGCGAAGGCGGCCAGCUGGACCAAAUCUGACACUGAGGCGCGACAGCGUGGGGAGCAAACAGG